rnacentral:rRNA from 1 species
GAUUGAACGCUGGCGGCAUGCCUUACACAUGCAAGUCGAACGGCAGCACGGGGGCAACCCUGGUGGCGAGUGGCGAACGGGUGAGUAAUGCAUCGGAACGUGCCCUGAAGUGGGGGAUAACGUAGCGAAAGUUACGCUAAUACCGCAUAUUCUGUGAGCAGGAAAGCAGGGGAUCGCAAGACCUUGCGCUUUAGGAGCGGCCGAUGUCGGAUUAGUUAGUUGGUGGGGUAAAGGCCUACCAAGGCGACGAUCCGUAGCGGGUCUGAGAGGAUGAUCCGCCACACUGGGACUGAGACACGGCCCAGACUCCUACGGGAGGCAGCAGUGGGGAAUUUUGGACAAUGGGCGCAAGCCUGAUCCAGCCAUGCCGCGUGAGUGAAGAAGGCCUUCGGGUUGUAAAGCUCUUUCGGCGGGGAAGAAAUUGCACUCGUUAAUACCGGGUGUAGAUGACGGUACCCGCAUAAGAAGCACCGGCUAACUACGUGCCAGCAGCCGCGGUAAUACGUAGGGUGCGAGCGUUAAUCGGAAUUACUGGGCGUAAAGCGUGCGCAGGUGGUUGUGUAAGUCAGAUGUGAAAUCCCCGGGCUCAACCUGGGAACUGCAUUUGAGACUGCACGGCUAGAGGAUGGCAGAGGGGGGUAGAAUUCCACGUGUAGCAGUGAAAUGCGUAGAGAUGUGGAGGAAUACCGAUGGCGAAGGCAGCCCCCUGGGCUAUUUCUGACACUCAUGCACGAAAGCGUGGGGAGCAAACAGGAUUAGAUACCCUGGUAGUCCACGCCCUAAACGAUGUCAACUAGAUGUUGGAAGGGUUAAACCUUUUAGUGUCGUAGCUAACGCGUGAAGUUGACCGCCUGGGGAGUACGGCCGCAAGGCUAAAACUCAAA